GGUGAAGUAGCUCAAUGGUAGAGCUCUUGCCUUGCAUGCAUAAGAUCUUGGGUUCAGUCCCUUCCACCA
rnacentral:tRNA from 1 species